GAUGAACGCUGGCGGCGUGCCUAAUACAUGCAAGUCGAGCGAAAAGACGAGGAGCUUGCUUCUCUGACGUUAGAGGCGGACGGGUGAGUAAAAUGUGGAUAAAAUUCCUAUAAGACUGGGAUAAAUUCGGGAAAACGGAGCUAAAUACGGAUAAUAUAUUGAACCGCAUGGUUCAAUAGUGAAAGGCGGUUUUGCUGUUACUUAUAGAAGGAUCCGCGCGGCAUUAGCUAGUUGGUAAGGUAACGGCUUACCAAGGCAACGAUGAGUAGCCGACCUGAGAGGAUGAUCGGCCACACUGGAACUGAGACACGGUCCAGACUCCUACGGGAGGCAGCAGUAGGGAAUCUUGCGCAAUGGGCGAAAGCCUGACGGAGCAACGCCGCGUGAGUGAUGAAGGUCUUCGGAUCGUAAAACACUUUUAUUAGGGAGGAACGAAUUUAUAAUUAACUAUGCACGUCUUGACGGUACCUAAUCAGAAAGCCACGGCUAACUACGUG
rnacentral:rRNA from 1 species